UGCCGGUUACUUCGCAAUUGUUCUCUGUGAACCCCGCCAGGACCGGAAGGUAGCAACGGUAACAGAAUAGCGAUGUGCCGAAGUCUUGCUGGUAGGG
rnacentral:SRP_RNA from 1 species